GCAGCGGCGGCGGCGGCGGGAGCGGGCCCCAUGCCCGGGCGGGGGGCGUCGCGCCCGCUCCCCCUCGUGUGGGCCCCGCCGUGGGAGCCGCAGGCGGGGCGUUACGGGCCAGGCGGGCUGGCGUCGGGAGGUGACGGCGCGGAGGGCUCUUUUUCCGCUUGGGAGGUUGCGCGUGCGGGUCGAAGUCCUGCAUAUUGCGCUUGCACAAGUGACACCAGCCCUGUAGCGGCGGUGGGGGUUUGGGCCUCGAACAUACCCCUUUUGUGGGUCCUGCAGCCCCAUAUCUUGAUCCUGACAGACAUGUUGCAUCGUUCCACAACCCUUCCUGCAUGUGAAUCAGAUAUUGUGUGCAGACCUGGAUGGCAUGUAAAAUAGUUAAUAACACAGAGUCAAAGAAGAGUGAUAAACACCCACAGAGAAUGAUGUUUCCAAGUCCUCAAUUGCUGGAGAUGCUUUGAUCUUGACUGUAGAGAACAGCUUGGACUGGACAGCUGAAGUUAGGGAAGGCAAACUCCAUUCUCAGUGACAUGGGCAAACCCACUGGAGAAGUCUGGGCAUAGUUAAAAAAUGGAAGCAAAUGUCCAAAAUCCAAUGCCUUAACUGCAAUGCUGUUCUUUAUCUUUAAAGAGGAAUUUUAGGUGACAAAGAAGGAUGGAAGAAGGGAAGCUUCCUGCUGAGGCAAAGCUGAGGGUCAUCACUGUAGAUCUGCAGAUGAUUCCUGAGAAAUCAUGUCCAUUUCAGAGGUCUGGAAUGAAUCUGAAGGGUGAAAGGAAAGUGAAGAGUUGUGAAAACGUGAUUGUGAGGCAGGGGAAGUGUAGCUGGUUAGUGGACAAGCAGGUUCUAAUUGCUGUAGUGAGCUGAGUGUACGAAACAGUGUCCCCCCAUCUAGCAAAGAUGCCCUACCGUGCCAUGCAAUGGAUAAGGGAGCCUCAUUUAAAAUAAUAUAAAUGGAGAAGCCAUCGCUUUGUGGGUCUUGACUGAUAAAGCCACCCAGAAAGUAAGAACUGCUCCGAAGGGGAUUAGUGAUCUAAACACAAGAGCUGGUUUCCUCAAAAGGAUCACAAGGGUGAAAGGCCAUCAUACCAAAGAAAAAAUGACACUUUGCUGUUUAGUCUUUGUUCUCAGAAUGAAUUGCAGACAAGGGAAAGGAGAGUAAAGAUGUCAAAAAGGAAUAUGUCAGUUACAGAGAGAGGAAAGGAAAGGAAUUGUAAAGGAAUUUUAAGUUCAUUUGGGGUAAAAUAAAACAUUCUUACAGAA
rnacentral:lncRNA from 1 species